CCUACGGGCGGCAGCAGUGAGGAAUAUUGGUCAAUGGGCGGGAGCCUGAACCAGCCAAGCAGCGUGAAGGAUGACUGUCCUACGGGUUGUAAACUUCUUUUAUAAGGGAAUAAAGUGUGGCACGUGUGCCCUUUUGUAUGUACCUUAUGAAUAAGGAUCGGCUAACUCCGUGCCAGCAGCCGCGGUAAUACGGAGGAUCCGAGCGUUAUCCGGAUUUACUGGGUUUAAAGGGAGCGUAGAUGGGUUGUUAAGUCAGUUGUGAAAGUUUGCGGCUCAACCGUAAAAUUGCAUUUGAAACUGGCAGUCUGGAGUGCAGUAGAGGUAGGCGGAAUUCGUGGUGUAGCGGUGAAAUGCGUAGAUAUCACGAAGAACUCCGGUUGCGAAGGCAGCUUACUGGACUGCAACUGACAUUGAGGCUCGAAAGUGUGGGUAUCAAACAGGAUUAGAUACCCGAGUAGUC
rnacentral:rRNA from 1 species